rnacentral:lncRNA from 1 species
GAAAGAUCCAAUCUAUUACCCUUAAGUUUAAUGUUAGCUAUAUGUAUCUCAAAGAUGCUCUUAAUGGAGAUGGGGAAGUUCUUCACUAUUUCUAUUUUUCUGAGGAUUUUUAUAAUGAAUAGAUUUUGAUUUUGUCAAAUUAUUUAUUUGCAUCGGUUGAAAUGAUCAUGAGAUUUUUCUUCUUUAGACUGUUAAUAUAGUGGACCGUAUUGAUUGCUUUGCAAAUACUGAACCAGCCUGGCAUCUCUGGAAUAAAUUCUACUUUGUCAUGCCUAACACACCACCACCACCACCACCACCACCUCAGCCUUCCCACGUUCUGGCAGUCUUCCCAAUUCUGAGUAUCUUGAACCAUCCAAACCACAAACAUCUCCAGCACAUGGUUUCCAUUAUAACAAUCCUGGGUAUCUGUCAAAAGUGAAGAGCAGGAGGUUGUAACUCUGAGGAGAGAAGACAGACCGGAGAGCCAAUCAAAUUUCAAACUAUACUUUGCUGUGGGCAUGGAUGGAGAAGCAGGUCACAUCUGAUGAAUGAAGAGGAGCUUCCAAGCAGCCAAAGUAAAGUAUUUUGCUACACAAACUGCAGGAUCAAUGUUCGUGUUUUGAAGCUCAAGAGAUUGACAGCUGUAGAAAUUAAGUUCCAGAAUAUAUCCACCAGCCAGGUUCAUAAUUGUCUCAGAAGUGGCCCUGGGAAACCCAAACAGCUCCAAGGACCACUAUACCAGGCCACUCCGCUUCUCUAAUAAAAUAUUUCUACCACUACUCUUAAAAUUUGUUUUUAAAAUUUAAUUUUUAAGAGCUGUUUUAGGUUUACAACAAAAUUAAGAAAGAGGUACAGAUAUUUCCCACAUACCCCCUGUCCCAUACAUGCAUAACUUCCCCUUUAUCAACGUCAGUCUCCA